GAGAGCAAGCGAGUGGUUGCGAAAUCUGACUCAAAAGUCAUUGCAAAAUGUUUUUGAGUAUCGGUUUUGAGGAAAGUCCGGGCUUCCAUGAAGAUCAGGCUGCUGGAUAAUGCCCAGUGCGAGCGAUCGUGAGGAUAGUGCCACAGAAAGAUACCGCCAGUUGAGAGAUCAAAUGGUAAGGGUGCAAAGGUGCGUUAAGAGCGUACCAGCAGAGUCGUGAGGCUCUGGCUCGGUAAACCCCAGUUGGAAGCAAGGCGAGAGGAUAUAGGUGUUGCGAUCUUCAGUCGAUCCUAUGUCCGUUACUUAAUGCGAUUAUUUAGUGAAAGCUAGGCGAUCGCAAUUGAGUGUGUGCCGCAUGAGGUGUUUGGUAACAAACAUCCCAGAUAGAUAACCGCUAGGGUAGUUGAUAAAACUCCCGAAACAGAACCCGGCUUAUGUCUUACUCUCCCUA
rfam:Pseudanabaena biceps PCC 7429 scaffold_00007, whole genome shotgun sequence.